AGGUAUGUUAAUAGCAUAUUCAUUUGACGUUAGCUGCAGAAGAAGCACCGGCUAACUCCGUGCCAGCAGCCGCGGUAAUACGGAGGGUGCGAGCGUUAAUCGGAAUUACUGGGCGUAAAGCGCAUGCAGGUGGUUUGUUAAGUCAGAUGUGAAAGCCCGGGGCUCAACCUCGGAAUUGCAUUUGAAACUGGCAAACUAGAGUACUGUAGAGGGGGUAGAAUUUCAGGUGUAGCGGUGAAAUGCGUAGAGAUCUGAAGGAAUACCGGUGGCGAAGGCGGCCCCCUGGACAGAUACUGACACUCAGAUGCGAAAGCGUGGGGAGCAAACAGGAUUAGAUACCCUGGUAG
rnacentral:rRNA from 1 species